rnacentral:lncRNA from 1 species
CUCUCGCCUGGCUGGCCGUGGGGGGCCUGGACGCAGUGGCCUCCCGAAUCUCCCAGGACCCUAAUAUCGCCCGAGGAUGCUGGGAGGAACGCUGAGCCGACCUCUCCGUUAGGCUGAAGAUUGCACAAACCAUGCUAAUGGCCAGCAUGGAUGGAGGGAGCGUGUGAGAUGUGUGGGGCAGCGUGCUGCAUCUCAGCCAACUCCAGGAGCCAGUUGAUGUGAUGGACUACCUUAAUUGAUUUUUGAAUGUUGAGCCAGCCUUAUGCAUGUGGGAUAAACCCCUGUUGAUCAUGGUAUGUAUUUCAUUUUAUACAGUGUCAGCUUUAGUUUGCUGGAUUUUUAAAAUAUGAAAUCUCUUUUAUAAUUUCAUCAGGAUAUUGGAAUAAAAAAGAUGUAGAUGCAUAUAUUCAGUCAUUCCUUUUGAACCAGUUAUAUUUCUAAAAGCUUAACAAAAGUCUGGAGAAAUCUCUUUUAUGUUCUGAGGAGUUAAAAAUUAUAUUACAAGGAAGCAACAAGAGAAAAGACUUAUCCCCAAUUGUUCCUGGUGCCUAUUAUUGCUUAGUAAACCACCCCAAAACUUGGUGAUUUAAACAACAAUGGUCAUUUAUGUUGCCUGUUAAUUGCAAUCUGGGCAGGGCUCUGCAGGGAAGGCUCAUCUCUGCCUCACAGGGACAUUCAGUGGCUGGAAGGUCCACCUCCAGGCUAGCUAACACACAGUUGGCAAGUCGGUACUCACU